UCUCUCCUUUCCUCUUCACUAUUUAAACAAAGCAGAUCUAGAGGGAAGCAAUGGAUAGAAACACCUUGGGUCAUAGCAUCUUAUUAGAGGAAUCGAAGGAACCAAUCAAGCAAAUGAAGGGAAAACAAGAAGAUAGUUUUGCAGGGACAGCAAAGAAUGAUCAUGUUGAUCAUUCCGAGAAAAAUGUACCAAAAGAUUUGGAAGCUCUAGCCAGGGCUACAAAGAAUGUACCCGAGGAUGUGGAAAUUACUGAAAUAAAAUCCAAUGAUUUAGACAACAAGACGGGGAGGAACAUUGGAAAGAGAAAUCGACAAGAUGACAGUGGGAGUAAAACAAAGGAACUAGUAGUUCCGUGAAAGGAAGGACAAUAGAGCUAACUCCAGAUCCUACUGAAUACCCAAGGGGAAGGGGGCCAACUAGACUCGAACUUCCACACGGUUUUGUGUAGCUGUUAUUGGAGGAUUUGAUUUGUUAAGAAUUAGUGUCUCCGCUAAAGUUUCUGAAUAUUGUGCAAUUGUUGCUGGAGUAUGUGACUUCUUAAGAAUUGGUGUCUUUGCUGAUGUUUUUGAAUAUGCUAUCUCAGUAGACACCUUGAGAUGUUAGCAUUUGGUUUUAAAGUUAUAUUUUCAUUGUCAAGUACUUAAGUGAUUUAUUUGUCAAAUCAAGUACUUUUGCAAAAAUGUCGUCAUUCUUA